CCCUUAGAUGUUCUGGGCCGCACGCGCGCUACACUGACGGAGGCAGCGAGCGUGUCCUUCGCCGGCAGGUGGGGGCAAUCUUGCGAGUCUCCGUCGUGCUGGGGAUAGAUGGUUGCAAUUGUCGAUCUUGAACGAGGAAUUCCUAGUAAGCGCGAGUCAUCAGCUCGCGCUGAUUACGUCCCUGCCCUUUGUACACACCGCCCGUCGCUACUACAGAGUGCCCGUGUCCAAGAAACGGUCGGACCUGUGCGGCCUCUCCGGGCGACCGGAGGGCCGUUACGGGGAAGACCCUUUAUUUGACGCGGGUCGAUGAAGUAAAAGUCGUAACA
rnacentral:rRNA from 1 species